UACGAAGGGGGCUAGCGUUGUUCGGAAUUACUGGGCGUAAAGCGCACGUAGGCGGAUAUUUAAGUCAGGGGUGAAAUCCCGGGGCUCAACCCCGGAACUGCCUUUGAUACUGGGUAUCUCGAGUCCGAGAGAGGUGAGUGGAAUUCCGAGUGUAGAGGUGAAAUUCGUAGAUAUUCGGAGGAACACCAGUGGCGAAGGCGGCUCACUGGCUCGGUACUGACGCUCAGGCACGAAAGCGUGGGGAGCAAACAGG
rnacentral:rRNA from 1 species